UGUUCUGUGGCUUAGUUGGUUAAAACACCGGUCUAGCGAAUACGGAGUCGUGGGUUUGAAUCCCAUCAGAACGC
rnacentral:tRNA from 1 species